ACAGCAUUUGGACCGUCGGUCUACAGAGCAAUAUCACCGGUUCGGUGGAAGAUCUUCUGUUUGUUAA
rnacentral:pre_miRNA from 1 species